rnacentral:rRNA from 1 species
UACGAAGGGGGCUAGCGUUGUUCGGAAUUACUGGGCGUAAAGCGCGCGCAGGCGGUUUUUCAAGUCAGUGGUGAAAGCCCGGAGCUCAACUCCGGAACUGCCAUUGAAACUGUAAAACUUGAGGAUGAGAGAGGUGAGUGGAAUUCCCAGUGUAGAGGUGAAAUUCGUAGAUAUUGGGAAGAACACCAGUGGCGAAGGCGGCUCACUGGUCCGGUACUGACGCUGAGGUGCGAAAGCGUGGGGAGCAAACAGG